rnacentral:rRNA from 1 species
UACCUUGUUACGACUUAUCCUGAGCCAGGAUCAAACUCUGCAGCGGCCGCGGAUCCGCGGCCGUGAGAGUCUUUGAUCCUGGCUCAGGAUCCGGAACGCUGGCGGCGUGCUUAACACAUGCAAGUCGAACGGACUGGAACUUAGCAAUAAGUGAAGGUUAGUGGCGAACGGGUGAGUAACGCGUAGACAACCUGCCUCAAAGAUGGGGACAACACCGCGAAAGUGGUGCUAAUACCGAAUAAGCUUGGCGUAUCGCAUGAUGCGGCAAGGAAAGGUGGCCUCUUAAUAAUGCUACCGCUUUGAGAUGGGUCUGCGUCUGAUUAGCUAGUUGGUGAGGUAACGGCUCACCAAGGCGAUGAUCAGUAGCCGGUCUGAGAGGAUGAACGGCCACACUGGGACUGAGACACGGCCCAGACUCCUACGGGAGGCAGCAGUGGGGAAUCUUCCGCAAUGGACGAAAGUUUGACGGAGCAACGCCGCGUGAGUGACGAAGGCUUCGGGUUGUAAAGCUCUGUCUUCAGGGGCGACCGUGAUCCUGGUGACAAUCGGGAUUAAUGACGGUACCUGCGGAGGAAGCCACGGCUAACUACGUG